rnacentral:misc_RNA from 1 species
GGAGUGGNUUGUACCAGAAGUAGAUAGCUUAACCUUCGGGAGGGCGUUUACCACGGUAUGAUUCAUGACUGGGGUGAAGUCGUAACAAGGUAACCGUAGGGGAACCUGCGGUUGGAUCACCUCCUUACCGAAAUGAGCGACAGCAAGUGUNCACACAG